rnacentral:tRNA from 1 species
GUUGUUGUGGCCGAGUGGUUAAGGCUAUGGACUUGAAAUCCAUUUUGGUUUCUCUGCACAGGUUCAAAUCCUGCCAAUAAUG